rnacentral:lncRNA from 1 species
AUGUGACGUCAGGUGCACGAGGUAUAGCCUACUACGAUAUUUCUAGUUUCAAUAUUGAACCCUGCACGACUCCAACACAGGAAUAGACCAAUUAUGACAAACGUCUAUCCUUGGAAAGACCGGAGCCCUAGGACCAUGCCUCAGGACUACCUGGCCUGACGACUUCUGGCUGUCCCCGUCCUGUCCACCUGGUCGUGCUGAUGAUCCAGUUUCUGCUGUUCUGCCUGCGGCUAUGGAACCCUGACCCGUUCACUGGACAUGCUAUCUUGUCCCAGACUUGUUUUUUCAACCCUAUGGCUCCCUCUCCAACUAAGGUGCAUGAAGGAGAAUAAGCAACUCUUGGAGGACAAUGGAAGUAAAUAAAAAAGGUUAUUUAUUGUUACAAGUAAAACUUAUUUUGGCCUAUUUCAGGCCUUCUAGUAAUCCUCCCACAGAGUAAUACUCUGUACCUGACUAGGAGAAGGCACAGGAACAAAACAAGAUAGCUAAUCCUGUUCUGGUUGAUUGGGUUUCUUGGGAAAGUCUGGGGAGAAACUCUGUCUAGAAGUCCAUGAGGCUGGGAUUCUGAACAAGCACUUUGUGAACACUGCUGAUGUACAAAGGGCUUUAUAAAUACAUCUGAUUGGAGACAUUUUCAUGUUUUAGAAUUUGUUUUUUUAUGUUUUAUCCCAGGUUGAAGAAACAGGCGCAAGGUUUGCAGCUGGAGGAAGUAUGUAGUAAAUCUGCCAAAGCUAAAUUUGGAUGCCAUUCUUUCACUGCCCUGAUGGAGCUUAUCAGAAAAAACAACGCUUGUUUGAUGUUUCAUAAACGAUUAUCGCUCCUUUCUCUCUAAUCUGACAUUCUCCCUGACAAUUAAUGAAGAAGAGAAUACUUACUUCCUAUUCUUGAAAAGUUCAGACCGAACAUUAUUCCUUCUAUGUAUCUGUCUAGCUGCCACUGUCUUUUGAGUCGACAUGACUGUGCAAACUGCACAAAAUGACCUAAGUGUGUUUUGAUUGUCUAAAAGUAAGGAUUAACUAUACCUUUAAUUGUCUGAUGAAAGUUUAAUGAAACUACUUGCUUCAUUUCACUGUUAAAGUGUAACCAAGCCAGGAUUAUCUGUUCAAAUUGCAGGACAAAUGCUGAUAGUACAUGAAUAUGAU